AGAAGUUCUGCUGUGGGUAAAAUGUCAAACAGCAUCCCAUGCUAUAGGGAAAUUUUUCGUGGAAGGAAGAGACAGUUAAUCUGGUAAACUUCAUUGUUGUCUUACUUUAUGAAAUUGCCACAGCCACCCUAGCCUUCCAUAGCCACCUCCCUGAUCGGUCAGCAGCCAUCAGCUGAUGUCAAGAGAAGGAAGCUGAACUGAACAAGGUUAAGUGACUUGGCCAAAGUCACAGGCACUAACUACGACAGCUGAAAGUUUCAGAACGUUCUCUCCAGCUGUGACAAGGAGGUGCACGUGAAGUGUGCCUCCAGCCAGCCCCAUAUGUCCAGAAACAUCAAUAAAAGAAGGGAACCAUGAAAAGGCAUGGGCACAGAACGACGUGGUCAAAACCAAAAGCAAAACAAAACACAGCUUUGUUCCCAAACCUGCUUUACACUUACAGACUGAGGAACCUUGGGAAAGCUGCUUAACAUCUGUUUUUGUUUCUCGUUGGUAAACUGUGGGGGGAACAUCCAUCUCACGUGGGGUCACUGAGCAUUUAAAUGAGACGAUUAACAGAAAUUAGCUUCAACAUCUUGAAAAAUGUUUUUUAAUGAGGGUUUCUUUCAUAUGUUUAGGCAGGGACCUAUAAUACGACAGGUUUUGUUUAUACAAAGUGAAAUUAGACAACGGUCCUACCCUCAGAAUGGGUAGGACCUUGGCAGGGAAGGCAAGGUGUCAAGUAGAAAGUGAAGCGUGCUGAGCGACUGAUGUCAAUAAAGGGGUGACAGGAGAAAGGGGAGGACCGUUGUCUCUCCCGGAUGGCUCCAUCGAGGGUACUGCUGGGGGAGGCACCAUUUGAGUCAGGCCUGGAAAUACGGUAGAGAAAAGUGCUGCUGGCAGAGGAGAAAACGCAAAGGCACAGAGGAGAGAGGGAGGCGUGUGCGGCAAACACCUACAUCACACUUCGCAGCCUUCAAAGGGCCUUUGCACUCUCUCGUUUAUUCCGCACAGCAGUCAUUGAAGAGGACAAGAGGGACAGUGGACGUUCCCAGCACAAAGUAAUGGUCAAUGUUUUGGAUGAUGGAUAAGCUAAUACCCUGAUCUGAUCCCUACACAUUAGAUGCGUGGAAGCAUCACUACGAUACACACAUCCCUGCGUAUCCUGUUAUGCAUUAAUAGGUAUCAUUAGUAUGUGCAAUUUAAAAAAUGAAAUUUAAAUUAUAAAAACAGGACAAGUCAGAGAUUUCCUGGCUGCUUCCCUGGGGGUACAGAGAAGCGAAAGGGACUCACCCAGGCUAAGGACUGUUCCAGGACAGGACAUGGCAGCUGGCGGAACUGAUGUGUGACUCCAAGUCUGAUGGUAAAAACUCCCUCUCUGGAUAGAGAAAUGGCCCCACGGAAAUCAGGCAGGGAUUGUUUAUUGAUGACGAGUGGCUUGGAUGUGGGAAAUGGUGAACUCCUUGCUUCUGAUAGGGCAACAUUCCACGACAGUCUGUGGGUACCUGGAGGGACCUUAAGAGCACUGGGUACCAAGAAUGGACUCGAAGCCACCAGCUGUGAAUGGUACAGGACUUGGUAAGGCCAGGGACCCCACCAGGUGGGAAGCCAACAAUAAGAAGGGUUUGCGUCCGAGAGCCUGAC